rnacentral:rRNA from 1 species
GAUUUCUGGCGUUUCAUUUCAGGCCGGCCACGGUUUCGUGUGUUAGUGCUUGAGAUCUUCGCCAUCCUUCCAAUGGCUAUUCAUCCUUCUUCAUUGAAGGUGUGAGUGGUAUUGGAUCUUUUACUUUGAAAAAAUUAGAGUGUUUCAAGCAGGCUUUAUGCUAUGAAUACAUUAGCAUGGAAUAAUAAUCUAGGACUUUCGGUUCUAUUUUGUUGGUGUUCUGGAGCUGAAGUAAUGAUUGAUAGGGAUAGUUGGGGGUGCUAGUAUUCAAUGGCCAGAGGUGAAAUUCUCGGAUUCCUUGAAGACUAACUUAUGCGAAAGCAUU